AGUGAACGCUGGCGGUAGGCCUAACACAUGCGAGUCGAACGGCAGCACAGUAAGAGCUUGCUCUUACGGGUGGCGAGUGGCGGACGGGAGCGGAAUACAUCGGAAUCUACUUUUUCGUGGGGGAUAACGUAGGGAAACUUACGCUACUACCGCAUACGACCUACGGGUGAAAUCCGGGGAUCUUCGGACCUUGCGCGAUUGAAUGAGCCGAUGUCGGAUUAGCUAGUUGGCGGGGUAAAGGCCCACCAAGGCGACGAUCCGUAGCUGGUCUGAGAGGAUGAUCAGCCACACUGGAACUGAGACACGGUCCAGACUCCUACGGGAGGCAGCAGUGGGGAAUAUUGGACAAUGGGCGCAAGCCUGAUCCAGCCAUGCCGCGUGGGUGAAGAAGGCCUUCGGGUUGUAAAGCCCUUUUGUAGGGAAAGAAAAGCAGCAGGUUAAUACCCCGCUGUUCUGACGGUACCCAAAGAAUAAGCACCGGCUAACUUCGUG
rnacentral:rRNA from 1 species